CCAGGUGUUGUGGUAUUAUGACACCUACACAGGGAGUGGAUAUUAGCACAGAUGAGGACCAGCUCCACCAGGUGUAUGUGACAGUGAGUGCUGCUCCAAGAUUGCAUUGGGCAAUAACACCAUUAACACAAGCCUCUGGGUGUAGAUUGAACAGCCAGCCUGGAACUUACCAAGGAAAGAUAGAGGCAACUCAGGUCAAUGUGAAGAUUUUGGGAGGCAGAUUUUAAGGACAUGUUUUAAUUCUCCCAACGUAACUAUAUGCACACACACAUGCACUACAAGUCCUGUCUUUAGAUAUCAUUUGUGCUUCUUACACUAGACAUUAUGAGCCCUCAGGAAGAACAUACUACAUAGGGCUUGGAUGCAGCUGGAGAACACUCAGUUUGCUUCCCUCUUAGGAGUUACAUAUAGAUGGAAGAGCUGAGUCUAUUUGCAGGCUUGUGUGUCUGGUUUGAUUGGGGAACCAGAGAAGAGUUGCUGGGAGUGGGGGGCUGAGGGAUUUGGAUUUUGUUACAAGAAUUAGACCAAACCCAAGAGUGGAAAUCCAGAAGGAGCUGUGGGAAUCAAGAGAAGUCACGAGUUAAUCCAGCUGAGAUGCCAAAGCACAGCCAGCUGCUGAAGGGGGCCUGGCAGGAGGCAUGGAGUUCUGUGGGAAGCUGAUGCCAAAGUGAUCGCCUGGUGGGUGUAUAGCCAGGGAUCUGGGGCCAGCCUGGGUCAACACUUGGAAAGCAAAGGUGAAAGUGAAGCAGCAGCAAAGGAAAGGCCACAGUGGAACGGACCAGGCACGCUGGACAACAAAUGGCCAUUUGAGGAAAAUGGCUUGCUUCCCUUUUGCCUUCCAGAGCUCACACCAGCACAUUUUGGAGCCAGUCCUGAUUUGGAACCACCAGAAAAUGGGACUCUGGGAAACGUGGUUCUGAAUUAACCAAGUUGACAUGGUACAAAUGGGCUGCGGUUUACUUUGGAACAUCUAAUUUGAAUGUCAGUAUACAUGUAAGAUGCAUCAUACAGAGGCCCUUCAUCAAAGUGUAUAUGAUUAAUAUUUCAUAGAGUUCAGAUUCAUAGGUGGUUUUUGCCAUUGAUGGUGCAAUACUGGAGAUAGAAAACCCAGGCUGCUCCCAGACUCCCUGCCACCCUUCAUCUGCUCCCUUCUGCCUUGUGUCACCAAAUAUUCUUUAAAUGAAAAUCCAGAAAUGUUCCAUGUGAUACAAUAAUUUACAAAUCAUGCUUUCUUAAAUCUAAACGCUGCUUUAAGGGUUUGUUAUGGCUCAAAAUAAUCUUGGACUAGGGAAGCUGAAGGGAACCUAUCUCUGCAUACUAGAAUCGGCUCCCAUCUCAUUUUGUAUAGGACGAGCUAAGUCAAGAUCAGAAAGGUUGGCUAUAGGACCAGAGUAGACCCCUACUCUCCUACCUGCCCAACAGUGGACACCACCCAACUUUAAUCUCAGUCCAUUUCAAUUUUAAAAUAUUUAAAUUUUUUUAAAAAAAAUUUAGUUGUAGAUGGACACACAGUAUCUAUCUUUAUUUUUAUGUGGUGCUGAGGAUCGAACCCGGCGCUUCAUACAUUCGAGGCAAGCACUUUACCACUGAGCUACAGCCCAUCCCUCAGGAACCAAUUUUGAGGACAAUAUUUUAUAAAGCAGAGAGUUGGAGAAUGGGAAUAGGAAAGAUAGUAGAAUGGAUUAGACAUUACUAUCCUAUAUGCGUAUAUGAUUACAUGGCCAGUGUAAUUCUACAUCAUGUACAACCAGAAGAACGAGAAGUUAUAUACUCCAUAUAGGUAUAAUAUGUCAAAAUACAGUCUAUCAUGUAUAACAAAUUUAAAAAAGCAGAGACAGAGCUGCUUCAUGUUUACAGGGUUUUCUGUUCCAUGAGGAGUUCACAUCUGGGUCACUCUUGAAGGUGCUUAUAAUGCCUUUGAUUUACCUGAGUUAAAAACUGGGGGAUUCUCCAGUGAGUCCCCCCAUGAGUGGAUUCCAAGGCAGAGAAAUGCUGCCAGAGGAUCUCACUUAAUCAGCUACGUUUAUCCAUUAGAGGCGCUCUUUGUUCUGGAUUUGUUAUCUUUGAACAUUGAAAAACGUUUGCACUGAAAUGUUUUUAGAAGAAAAAUAACACAGAAUUGCCUUUGGUUGUAGAGAAGGAAGCCCUUCCACUAUGUCGAGUUUUGUGCUGUCGUCUCUAGAAAUUAUUGGAAUGAUUAGGGAAUAAGCGUUCUGCUGUAGAGCAGCCACAGUGGUAAUUUUUCAGACCAUCUAAAUUAAUAACACUAAAAUAGAAGGCUCUGAGUAGAUAAAAGCCUUUUUAGAAAAACCUGUGAACCAAUUAAUCACCCGUUUGGGUUGCAAACCCUAAUAGGAAAGUGUUUGGACUUACAUCACCAUGUGUAUGUUUAUUAAUAAAUUUGUGCAUAACUAAAUUAUUCUGGAAGUUUUGAAUGAAG
rnacentral:lncRNA from 1 species